GAUGAACGCUGGCGGCGUGCCUAAUACAUGCAAGUCGAGCGAACGGACGAGAAGCUUGCUUCUCUGAUGUUAGCGGCGGACGGGUGAGUAACACGUGGAUAACCUACCUAUAAGACUGGGAUAACUUCGGGAAACCGGAGCUAAUACCGGAUAAUAUUUUGAACCGCAUGGUUCAAAAGUGAAAGACGGUCUUGCUGUCACUUAUAGAUGGAUCCGCGCUGCAUUAGCUAGUUGGUAAGGUAACGGCUUACCAAGGCAACGAUGCAUAGCCGACCUGAGAGGGUGAUCGGCCACACUGGAACUGAGACACGGUCCAGACUCCUACGGGAGGCAGCAGUAGGGAAUCUUCCGCAAUGGGCGAAAGCCUGACGGAGCCACGCCGCGUGAGUGAUGAAGGUCUUCGGAUCGUAAAACUCUGUUAUUAGUGAAGAACAUAUGUGUAAGUAACUGUGCACAUCUUGACGGUACCUAAUCAGAAAGCCACGGCUAACUACGUG
rnacentral:rRNA from 1 species